GAUGAACGCUGACAGAAUGCUUAACACAUGCAAGUCUUUGGCGAAGCUGUGCUUGCACAGCCUAGCCAAGGCGGACGGGUGAGUAACGCGUAAGGAACUUGCCCUGCAGUCAGGGAUAACAGACGGAAACGACUGAUAAGACCUGGUAAAGUCAGGCGGACUCAUGUCCAGCCUGAUGAAAAGAGAUGCUGCAGGAGAGCCCUGCGUCCUAUUAGCUUGUUGGUGGGGUAACGGCCCACCAAGGCGAUGAUAGAUAGCCGGCCUGAGAGGGUGGACGGCCACAAGGGGACUGAGAUACGGCCCUUACUCCUACGGGAGGCAGCAGUGGGGAAUAUUGGACAAUGGGGGCAACCCUGAUCCAGCAAUUCUGUGUGCACGAUGAAGGUUUUCGGAUUGUAAAGUGCUUUCAGCAGGGAAGAAAAAAUGACGGUACCUGCAGAAGAAGCGACGGCUAAAUACGUG
rnacentral:rRNA from 1 species